rnacentral:rRNA from 1 species
AUUGAACGCUGGCGGCAUGCUUUACACAUGCAAGUCGAACGGUAACAGGCCGCAAGGUGCUGACGAGUGGCGAACGGGUGAGUAAUGCAUCGGAACGUGCCCAGUCGUGGGGGAUAACUAUCCGAAAGGAUAGCUAAUACCGCAUACGAUCUGCGGAUGAAGGCGGGGGACCUUCGGGCCUCGCGCGAUUGGAGCGGCCGAUGUCAGAUUAGGGAGUUGGUGGGGUAAAGGCUCACCAAGCCAACGAUCUGUAGCUGGUCUGAGAGGACGACCAGCCACACUGGGACUGAGACACGGCCCAGACUCCUACGGGAGGCAGCAGUGGGGAAUUUUGGACAAUGGGCGCAAGCCUGAUCCAGCAAUGCCGCGUGCAGGAAGAAGGCCUUCGGGUUGUAAACUGCUUUUGUACGGAACGAAACGGUCCUGGUUAAUACCCGGGGCUAAUGACGGUACCGUAAGAAUAAGCACCGGCUAACUACGUGCCAGCCGCCGCCGAAGAC